rnacentral:lncRNA from 1 species
GGAAAAUUACAACUUUGGGUUAUUGAUGGGCAAGUGGAUUCUAAUAGCUUAAAAGGGUCUCACCUCACACUGGGCAUGCUGUGCGCUCAGUUUUGCCAUCUAUAAGAAUGAAUGAAAUGAUGUCAUCACAGAGAAUCACGGUGAGAAUCAAGUUGCCACCUCAAGCAGCGCCUUGAAGCGAGGGAGGUACUUGGUGCUUUCCCAUCAUGAUGGACUGUACCCUCAGACUGCGAGCCAAAGCCAACCUUCCUUCCUUGAGUUGCUUUCAGCAGCUGCUCAAGCUAUCCCAAGCGAGGCCUGGAUCAAGUGAGUGAGUAGUCAUUUGAGAGGAGCUCGCCAGAAGGGUCUUCACACAACUCCACCCCUCAGCUGUUUUCUCGUGG